ACUUUGUUCAUUUAGCACCAUCAACAUUAAGGCAAGACCCUCCACCAGCAAAAGGAUUACUACUCACUGAAGGCUCAUAUGAUUGUUAGCAAUUUUUAGCAAUAAAACAUUUUAAAAUUAA